rnacentral:rRNA from 1 species
GACGAACGCUGGCGGCGUGCUUAACACAUGCAAGUCGAACGGAAAGGCCCUGCUUUUGUGGGGUGCUCGAGUGGCGAACGGGUGAGUAACACGUGAGUAACCUGCCCUUGACUUUGGGAUAACUUCAGGAAACUGGGGCUAAUACCGGAUAGGAGCUCCUGCUGCAUGGUGGGGGUUGGAAAGUUUCGGCGGUUGGGGAUGGACUCGCGGCUUAUCAGCUUGUUGGUGGGGUAGUGGCUUACCAAGGCUUUGACGGGUAGCCGGCCUGAGAGGGUGACCGGCCACAGUGGGACUGAGAGACGGCCCAGACUGCUACGGGAGGCAGCAGUGAGGAAUAUUGCACAAUGGGCGGAAGCCUGAUGCAGCAACGCCGCGUGCGGGAUGACGGCCUUCGGGUUGUAAACCGCUUUCGCCUGUGACGAAGCGUGAGUGACGGUAAUGGGUAAAGAAGCACCGGCUAACUACGU